CAGCAGCCACGGUAACACGGAGGGGGCUAGCGUUAAUCGGAAUUACUGGGCGUAAAGCGUGCGCAGGCGGUUUGUUAAGACAGAUGUGAAAUCCCCGGGCUCAACCUGGGAACUGCAUUUGUGACUGGCAAGCUAGAGUGUGGCAGAGGGGGGUGGAAUUCCGCGUGUAGCAGUGAAAUGCGUAGAUAUGCGGAGGAACACCGAUGGCGAAGGCAGCCCCCUGGGCCAACACUGACGCUCAUGCACGAAAGCGUGGGGAGCAAACAGGAUUAGAUAACCGAGUAGUCCCUGUCUCUUAUAU
rnacentral:rRNA from 1 species